AUUGAACGCUGGCGGCAGGCUUAACACAUGCAAGUCGAGCGGGGAUUGGGUGCUUGCACCUAAUCUUAGCGGCGGACGGGUGAGUAAUGCUUAGGAAUCUGCCAUUUAGUGGGGGACAACAUUCCGAAAGGGAUGCUAAUACCGCAUACGCCCUACGGGGGAAAGCAGGGGAUCUUCGGACCUUGCGCUAAAUGAUGAGCCUAAGUCGGAUUAGCUAGUUGGUGGGGUAAAGGCCUACCAAGGCGACGAUCUGUAGCGGGUCUGAGAGGAUGAUCCGCCACACUGGGACUGAGACACGGCCCAGACUCCUGCGGGAGGCAGCAGUGGGGAAUAUUGGACAAUGGGCGAAAGCCUGAUCCAGCCAUGCCGCGUGUGUGAAGAAGGCCUUUUGGUUGUAAAGCACUUUAAGCGAGGAGGAGGCUACUUAGAUUAAUACUCUGGGAUAGUGGACGUUACUCGCAGAAUAAGCACCGGCUAACUCUGUGCCAGCCGCCGCCGUAAUAC
rnacentral:rRNA from 1 species